rnacentral:rRNA from 1 species
UUGGGCACUCUAAGUUGACUGCCGGUGACAAACCGGAGGAAGGUGGGGAUGACGUCAAAUCAUCAUGCCCCUUAUGAUUUGGGCUACACACGUGCUACAAUGGACAAUACAAAGGGCAGCGAAACCGCGAGGUCAAGCAAAUCCCAUAAAGUUGUUCUCAGUUCGGAUUGUAGUCUGCAACUCGACUACAUGAAGCUGGAAUCGCUAGUAAUCGUAGAUCAGCAUGCUACGGUGAAUACGUUCCCGGGUCUUGUA